GGAAAGAGAAAGAAAGGGAGUAGGAAGCAACUUAAAUUGGUCACGACACUCUAGGUUAGUAACCCUGACUACUUCUAUAACUCUGAAUAUUGUGGUUGCACUGUCUGAUUUUUUUUAUUUCGUCUGCAUAUUUAUUUUGUUUUUAUUUCGAUCUUUGCAUGAUCCAUGAUUAUGCUUUUUUUGUCCGUUUCAAGGAUUUUUUUUAUAUUUCAUUUAGUUCUUAUUUACACUCUUUUUAUUUCAUUUAAUACUUUUUAAAAUUAUUAUCAUGUUAUUAGGAAACUAUAGAAAAUAAUGAUC
rnacentral:lncRNA from 1 species